rnacentral:tRNA from 1 species
GGCUCGGUAGCCAAGAGGUAAGGCGACGGUCUGCAAAACCGUUAUACGCGGGUUCGAUUCCCGCCCGAGCCU